rnacentral:rRNA from 1 species
UACGUAGGGUGCAAGCGUUAAUCGGAAUUACUGGGCGUAAAGCGUGCGCAGGCGGUUGUGCAAGUCUGAUGUGAAAUCCCCGGGCUUAACCUGGGAACUGCAUUGGAGACUGCACGGCUAGAGUGCGUCAGAGGGGGGUGGAAUUCCGCGUGUAGCAGUGAAAUGCGUAGAGAUGCGGAGGAACACCGAUGGCGAAGGCAGCCCCCUGGGAUGACACUGACGCUUAGGCGCGAAAGCGUGGGGAGCAAACAGG